rnacentral:rRNA from 1 species
AUGAACGCUAGCUACAGGCUUAACACAUGCAAGUCGAGGGGCAGCAUGAACUUAGCUUGCUAAGUUUGAUGGCGACCGGCGCACGGGUGAGUAACACGUAUCCAACCUGCCGAUGACUCGGGGAUAGCCUUUCGAAAGAAAGAUUAAUACCCGAUGGCAUAGUUCUUCCGCAUGGUAGAACUAUUAAAGAAUUUCGGUCAUCGAUGGGGAUGCGUUCCAUUAGGUUGUUGGCGGGGUAACGGCCCACCAAGCCUUCGAUGGAUAGGGGUUCUGAGAGGAAGGUCCCCCACAUUGGAACUGAGACACGGUCCAAACUCCUACGGGAGGCAGCAGUGAGGAAUAUUGGUCAAUGGACGAGAGUCUGAACCAGCCAAGUAGCGUGAAGGAUGACUGCCCUAUGGGUUGUAAACUUCUUUUAUACGGGAAUAAAGUGAGGCACGUGUGCCUUUUUGUAUGUACCGUAUGAAUAAGGAUCGGCUAACUCCGUGCCAGCAGCCGCGGUAAUACGGAGGAUCCGAGCGUUAUCCGGAUUUAUUGGGUUUAAAGGGAGCGUAGGCGGACGCUUAAGUCAGUUGUGAAAGUUUGCGGCUCAACCGUAAAAUUGCAGUUGAUACUGGGUGUCUUGAGUACAGUAGAGGCAGGCGGAAUUCGUGGUGUAGCGGUGAAAUGCUUAGAUAUCACGAAGAACUCCGAUUGCGAAGGCAGCCUGCUGGACUGUAACUGACGCUGAUGCUCGAAAGUGUGGGUAUCAAACAGGAUUAGAUACCCUGGUAGUCCACACAGUAAACGAUGAAUACUCGCUGUUUGCGAUAUACAGUAAGCGGCCAAGCGAAAGCGUUAAGUAUUCCACCUGGGGAGUACGCCGGCAACGGUGAAACUCAAAGGAAUUGACGGGGGCCCGCACAAGCGGAGGAACAUGUGGUUUAAUUCGAUGAUACGCGAGGAACCUUACCCGGGCUUGAAUUGCCACUAACGAGGCAGAGAUGCGUUAGGUGCCCUUCGGGGAAAGUGGAGACAGGUGGUGCAUGGUUGUCGUCAGCUCGUGCCGUGAGGUGUUGGGUUAAGUCCCGCAACGAGCGCAACCCCUAUUGUUAGUUGCCAUCAUUAAGUUGGGCACUCUGUCGAGACUGCCGUCGUAAGAUGUGAGGAAGGUGGGGAUGACGUCAAAUCAGCACGGCCCUUACGUCCGGGGCUACACACGUGUUACAAUGGGGGGUACAGAAGGCAGCUACACGGCGACGUGAUGCUAAUCCCUAAAGCCUCUCUCAGUUCGGAUUGGAGUCUGCAACCCGACUCCAUGAAGCUGGAUUCGCUAGUAAUCGCGCAUCAGCCACGGCGCGGUGAAUACGUUCCCGGGCCUUGUACACACCGCCCGUCAAGCCAUGAAAGCCGGGGGUACCUGAAGUGCGUAACCGCGAGGAGCGCCCUAGGGUAAAACUGGUGAUUGGGGCU